AUCUAUACGGUGAAACUGCGAAUGGCUCAUUAAAUCAGUUAUCGUUUAUUUGAUAGUACCUUACUACUUGGAUAACCGUGGUAAUUCUAGAGCUAAUACAUGCUAAAAACCCCAACUUCGGGAGGGGUGUAUUUAUUAGAUAAAAAACCAAUGCCCUUCGGGGCUCCUUGGUGAUUCAUGAUAACUUAACGAAUCGCAUGGCCUUGCGCCGGCGAUGGUUCAUUCAAAUUUCUGCCCUAUCAACUUUCGAUGGUAGGAUAGUGGCCUACCAUGGUUUCAACGGGUAACGGGGAAUUAGGGUUCUAUUCCGGAGAGGGAGCCUGAGAAACGGCUACCACAUCCAAGGAAGGCAGCAGGCGCGCAAAUUACCCAAUCCCGACACGGGGAGGUAGUGACAAUAAAUACUGAUACAGGGCCCUUUUGGGUCUUGUAAUUGGAAUGAGUACAAUUUAAAUCCCUUAACGAGGAACAAUUGGAGGGCAAGUCUGGUGCCAGCAGCCGCGGUAAUUCCAGCUCCAAUAGCGUAUAUUAAAGUUGUUGCAGUUAAAAAGCUCGUAGUUGAACCUUGGGCUUGGCUGUCCGGUCCGCCUCACCGCGUGCACUGGUUCGGCCGAGCCUUUCCUUCUGGGAAGCCGCAUGCCCUUCACUGGGUGUGUCGGGGAACCAGGACUUUUACUUUGAAAAAAUUAGAGUGUUCAAAGCAGGCCUAUGCUCGAAUACAUUAGCAUGGAAUAAUAGAAUAGGACGUGUGGUUCUAUUUUGUUGGUUUCUAGGACCGCCGUAAUGAUUAAUAGGGAUAGUCGGGGGCAUCAGUAUUCAAUUGUCAGAGGUGAAAUUCUUGGAUUUAUUGAAGACUAACUACUGCGAAAGCAUUUGCCAAGGAUGUUUUCAUUAAUCAGUGAACGAAAGUUAGGGGAUCGAAGACGAUCAGAUACCGUCGUAGUCUUAACCAUAAACUAUGCCGACUAGGGAUCGGGCGAUGUUAUCAUUUUGACUCGCUCGGCACCUUACGAGAAAUCAAA
rnacentral:rRNA from 1 species